AUGGACAGGGAGGCCUGACGUGCUGCGAUUCAUGGGGUCGCAAAGAGUUGAACAGGACUGAGCGACUGAACUGAACUGAACUGAACCCCUCAGUUCUCGCCGUACACCCGCCGCACCGCAAACACGCGCCGGCUGAGGGGCGGGGGCCAAGGCCGGAAGGGGCGGGGCCAGGCCUGGAGCGUCGGAGCGCCAACCCAGGCCCCCGCGCUUUCUUUUCCGCUUGGCCGCCGGAGAAGGAAGGGCUCUGAGGCUCCGUCUGCCUUACGGGCGUGGCGGCAACGCCCGCGGACACGUCUCCCCGCUCUUCCAGGGGGGAAGGCCUGGCGAAGUUAGGUCAUUUUAUUAUUUCUCCCGGGAUCCCCAUCCCGGUGGCCUCCGUCCAUUGCUGGGCACAGCCCAGCGGUCGGCGCGGCCUCGGCCUCCAAGUCAUCCCAGGAGGCCAUCUUCCCCUCCCCCACCCGGUUGACGCCGCCUCGAGCUCUCCUCCGUGCCUUCUGCUCAAUCGCAUUUUGUGAGUAACCGUUACCUGUGAGUUUUAGCCGACCCUUGUUACUAAAAGCCGAUUUGGACUGUUCUCAGCUCAGACUAACGAAGGGCCUUUUGCCAUUCUCUGGGUUCCGAGGCGGGUGGUCUCGCGCCCAGCCCAGGGCUCGACCGGAGCCCUUUUGUAUCCCAAGUAAAGCUUUGUGUGCGGCCUUUCGGCUUCGGGGCCCCUUAAAUGUGCGCCCAUUUACCCUUUCUAAGGAAACGUUCUGUAAAGUGGGAAAGGAUUACCUCUUAAAUCUGAAGGCAAUCUUGACUUGGCUGGACUUUUUGGUUGGUUUUAAAACUUUUUAACGCGGCAUGGUUAACCUGCUAACAAUGAGUUCUGGGCUCUGCGCAGUGGCACAAUGUAGCCAUUUAUUUGUUCCUGGAUCUUCCUUUGUAAAUAGACUCUAGGGACGUGACACUGAAUUUGGAGAACAGUUCGUAGUGGUUAGAAGCCCUUUAGGCUAUAAAUGCCGGCUGUAGCCUUAGAUACUUGGAUUUACGUAAAGAUGUGUAUUCUGAACUUGAUACAGAAGAAACUGGUCAAGAGCUGGAAGACUUUUUGUCUGUUUAAAAGCACAGUUAUAAGUGCUCGUCAAUGAGACUUAGUAUAGUCAGGUGUUUUGGUUUAUUCCCUCCCCCCGAUAUGAAAUACACGUUUUUUCAUCUCAAUCCCAACAGUUAACUUUCACCACGGCAAAUGUGAUGGCCUGAAGUAGCUUAUAUUUGGCAUUUCAGUCAUUCUUUAUGAGGCAUAGUGACUGGAACCCAAUUUUCAUUGCUAAGUAUUGGAAUUUUUAAAAACUUUACAAAAUAACCGUUUGAUUAAAAUUUUGAUAAUUUAUGUAAGUCCUUAAUAACUAAGGCUUCCCAGGUGGCACAGUGGUAAAGAAUCCCUGGGUCGGGAAGAUCCCAUGGAGUAAAAUAUGGCAACCCACUCCAGUAUUCUUCUCUGGAAAAUUCUAUGGACAGAGGAGCCAGGCGGCUUACAGUAUGUGGGGUCGUGAACAGUUGAACACGACCAAGCAACUAACACACACAAACAUAAUAAAUACACGAGUCCAGUGAUCCAUUUAAGAACUGUAAUAUUAUUAAUACCAUAACAUCCAUUUGCUUCCCUAUCC
rnacentral:lncRNA from 1 species